GACGAACGCUGGCGGCGUGCUUAACACAUGCAAGUCGAACGGUGAAGCUCCAGCUUGCUGGAGUGGAUCAGUGGCGAACGGGUGAGUAACACGUGAGCAACCUGCCCCUGACUCUGGAAUAAGCGCUGGAAACGGCGUCUAAUACUGGAUACGAGAAGGGCCCGCAUGGGCACUUUCUGGAAAGUUUUUCGGUUGGGGAUGGGCUCGCGGCCUAUCAGCUUGUUGGUGAGGUAAUGGCUCACCAAGGCGACGACGGGUAGCCGGCCUGAGAGGGCGACCGGCCACACUGGGACUGAGACACGGCCCAGACUCCUACGGGAGGCAGCAGUGGGGAAUAUUGCACAAUGGGCGAAAGCCUGAUGCAGCGACGCCGCGUGAGGGAUGACGGCCUUCGGGUUGUAAACCUCUUUCAGCAGAGAAGAAGCGAAAGUGACGGUACCUGCAGAAGAAGCACCGGCUAACUACGUGCCAGCAGCCGCGGUAAAUACGUAGGGUGCGAGCGUUGUCCGGAAUUAUUGGGCGUAAAGAGCUUGUAGGCCGUUUGUCGCGUCUGCUGGGAAAUCCGGGGCUCAACCCCGGACUUGCAGUGGGUACUGGCAGACUAGAGUGUGGUAGGGGAGACUGGAAUUCCUGGUGUAGCGGUGAAAUGCGCAGAUAUCAGGAGGAACACCGAUGGCGAAGGCAGGUCUCUGGGCCACUACUGACGCUGAGAAGCGAAAGCAUGGGGAGCGAACAGGAUUAGAUACCCUGGUAGUCCAUGCCGUAAACGUUGGGCGCUAGGUGUGGGACUCAUUCCACGAGUUCCGUGCCGCAGCUAACGCAUUAAGCGCCCCGCCUGGGGAGUACGGCCGCAAGGCUAAAACUCAAAGGAAUUGACGGGGGCCCGCACAAGCGGCGGAGCAUGCGGAUUAAUUCGAUGCAACGCGAAGAACCUUACCAAGGCUUGACAUAUACUGGAAACUUCCUAAGAUGGUUGCCCCCUUUGGGUCGGUAUACUGGUGGUGCUUGGUUGUCGUCAUCUCGUGUCGAGAGAUGUCGGGCUAAGUCCCGCAAACGAUCCUACCCUCCUUCUAUGUUGCCAGCACGUAAUGAUGGGGACUCUUGGAAAACUGCCGGGAGUAACUCGGAAGAUAGUGGGAUAUGAAGUCAAAUUCAUCACGCCCCUUUUGUCUUGGGCAUCACGCAUGUUUACCAUGGGCUCGUUACUAAGGGCCUGCGAUUGCCAUCUGGUGUGACCAAUCCCCUAAGACCCGGUCCAAACUUCUGAUUGGGGUCUGCNNCUCGNCCCCCUGNNGUCGGNGUCGCUNGUNNUCNCNNAUCNNCNNCGCCCCUGAAGGACGUUCCCGGCCCU
rnacentral:rRNA from 1 species